AACUUGACCAAAGCAACAAACCAGAUUACUACUUGGCUAAGGCUAUAGCUCAUGACAGAAAAUUGGACAGCGCUAUAUUAGAACCCCAAAGACUAGAAACGGUCUCCUCCUAAUUAAACGUUAGCAAUGAAAAAACUAACACAGAUGAUCAAAUAUUUGCUGUCGGGAUGCAAAAUAAAAUCAUCCAUGUAAAUGCAGGAAUCAUUUACGGACCAGAAAUGAUCAAAUCUUCAAACAUCUUCACAAAUAUCCACUAUUACCAAUAAUUGCAACGAUAUGUCCUGGUAUGUCCGGCGGUCCUGUUAUUAACAAAGAUGGUCAGAUUGUAGCGGUGAACAUUGCAGCGUUAUAUUGGAAUUAUAUGGAGGAGAAAGUGACACUGAAUGCUUUUUAUGUGGGGAUACCAAUAGCUCAAGUGAGCACAUUUGUUAAUCGUUAUAUAAAAAAGUCAUGUAACAACAUAUGAUAAUUUUAUUAUUAUUAUUAUUGUUAUUUUUAUUUGUAAUUAUAUUAAUUAUUUAUU
rnacentral:lncRNA from 13 species